UCCCCUAGUAACGGCGAGUGAAGCGGGAAGAGCUCAAAUUUGAAAUCUGGUAGCCUUCGGUUGCCCGAGUUGUAAUCUAGAGAAAUGUUUUCCGUGCCGGCCCAUGUACAAGUCCCUUGGAACAGGGCGUCAUAGAGGGUGAGAAUCCCGUCCUUGACAUGGACCCCCGGUGCUUUGUGAUACAUUUUCAACGAGUCGAGUUGUUUGGGAAUGCAGCUCAAAAUGGGUGGUGAAUUCCAUCUAAAGCUAAAUAUUGGCGAGAGACCGAUAGCGAACAAGUACCGUGAGGGAAAGAUGAAAAGCACUUUGGAAAGAGAGUUAAACAGUACGUGAAAUUGUUGAAAGGGAAACGAUUGAAGUCAGUCAUGCUCUUUGGUAUUUAUAUCAUUGAGUGGGGUCAACAUCAGUUUUGAUCGAUGGAUAAAGGCACUAGGAAGGUAGCACUCUCGGGUGAACUUAUAGCCUAGCGUCAUAUACAUUGAUUGGGACUGAGGAACGCAGCAUGCCUUUAUGGCCGGGAUUCGUCCACGUACAUGCUUAGGAUGUUGACAUAAUGGCUUUAAACGACCCGUCUUGAAACACGGGACCA
rnacentral:rRNA from 1 species